rnacentral:rRNA from 1 species
AAUGAACGUUGGCGGCGUGGAUUAGGCAUGCAAGUCGCGCGACAAGGAACCUUCGGGUUCUGGAGGAGCGGCAAACGGGGUAGUAAGGCAUCGGAACGUACCCUCUUGUUGGGAAUAGCCGCGGGAAACUGCGAGUAAUGCCCAAUAAUCCCUACGGGGCAAAGGUCCGCCGCAGGAGGAGCGGCCGAUGUGAUACCAGCUAGUUGGUGAGGUAAUGGCUCACCAAGGCUUAGACGUCUAGGGGGUGUGAGAGCAUGGCCCCCACCACUGGGACGUGAGAUACUGCCCACGACACCUACGGGUGGGCUGCAGUCGAGAAUCUUCGGCGAAUAGGGCGCAAGCCUGACCGAGCAACGCCGCGUGCGGGAGUGAAGGCCCGUUC